AGCGAACGCUGGCGGCAGGCCUAACACAUGCAAGUCGAGCGGACCCUUCGGGGUUAGUGUCGGCUGGGUGUGUCACCCGUGGGAACGUGCCUUUAUGGUCGGCAUAGCUCCUGGAAACGGGUGGCUAUGCCGAAUCUGCCCUUCUGGGGGAAGAUUUAUCGCCUUUCGUGCGGCCCGCGUCUGAUUCGCUAUUUCGGGAGGUAACGGCUCACCACGGCGCCGAUCAGUAGCUUGGUUGGGAGGAUGCCCAGCCACACUGGGAGUGAGACACGGCCCAGACUCCUACGGGAGGCAGCAGUGGGGAAUCUUGCGCAAUGGGCGAAAGCCUGAAGCAGCCAGGCCGCGUGAAUGAUGAAGGUCUGAGGAUAGUAAAAUUCUUUCACCGGGGACGAUAAUGACGGUACCCGAAGAAGAAGCCCCGGCUAACUUCGUG
rnacentral:rRNA from 1 species